AAUUUAACAUGAGGUACCGAUAGGGCUUGCCACAUGCCAACCCUCGUUUCCCACACAAAUCCUAGAAAAUAUAGCCCGCAAGCCGCAACUAUUGCACAGCUGGCUGAGCUGUGGUGAGCAAAAGCGCCAGCGCACCCUUCGAGAAUCACAGCGCCCAGACCCACCCACACACACGCACACCGCCGCACCCACUUCAAAAGCGAGCAGCUUCUUUCGAAACCCACAACGCGGCAGUCACGACGAGCGUUCCGAACGGCAAGCCUCUAAAGGGGAGAAGGUGCCCACUUUCACGAAGCAGCCAGCGCGCCCAACCCUGGCUUUGAAGCCCGGCAGGCUUGGGCGGCGAACAUCUUUCCAUUUGGCCAAACACGUCCGCCCCAAAAAAAGCCGAGCCACGCCGCCCCCACAAAGCAGCGGCCCCCAAAGGCCGGGCGCCACCCCGGCCCCCCCCACCCGAGAAAACACCAGCCGCCGUAGACAAACGGGAGGGCGCCGCAAAGGGCGCCCAAAAAGAGGGAAACGCCGGGCGCCCCAAAAAGCGCGUGCGCCUGGGGGGCCACCCGCGGCGACCCCACACACAGAAAACCCACCGCCCACCGGCGCCCGUUUUCACAAAGCCGCCCCCAACCAGCAAAUUUUCGGCAACGGUGGUGCGCCAGCCCUCUUUUAAAAACCCAAAAGCCACCCCGGGGAACGCCCCAGCAGAACGGAGACAAAACACCCAAAGAAACAGCCACCACACCCAAACGCCUUUCAAAAAAAAAAAACGGAAAAAACGCCGCGCCACACGCCAAAUAUUACCUUCCCAGUGUCAAACCCGCCCGCUUGCCCCCGAGGCAAAAUGGUGACCACCGAAAGUUCCCUUUAGAACCCUUCGCCAGGGUCAUUGUUUCCGACGCCCUGAAACCUCCACGGCCGAGGGGAACGACGGCGCCCGCGCCAUGAGCCCCCAAAGGGCCGCGGCCCCAAACAACACCAAACAAAAAAAAAACGACAUCACGAUAUCAUGCGAAGGAGCGACCCAUCCUUCUAAUCGUUGUCCCCACCGAGGCCCGAGCCCUGCGGCACGAACCUUUUCAAAUGUUUCAAUGCAGCCUCCCAACCCCCAGCCCACCAGAAAGAUUUUCGCACGCUUGCGCGCCGCAAAUGACGGCACAAUCCUCCCGAAAGCCCGAGCAGAAACCUUUUUCCCACCACAAACUGGUACCAGGCGGCCCUUUGCGUAAAUUUCAUGGAGGCGUGGGGCUUUGUCUCUCUUCGGGCUUUGGCGGAGGAAGCGCUUUUUCCCGGCAACGAAAACCCGGCCCCAAAGGAAAAAAGGCGAGGGGCGUCCCCAAAACCAAGACCCCCGGACACAGCCCCGGCGAAAACACAGCGCAGAGAAGCCCAAAAUCUUUUAAAAGCCCAGCCGGCAAACGAAAAACACUUUUUGGAGACAAAAGCACUGACGGGAGCAUGGGAAAGCGUGAAAAGAUGAAAAAGAAAUUGCUGCGCCCCGGGCCGGUUAAAAAAGGCGGGAUGGGAAAAAACAAAGCCCUUUAUUAUGGCACCGGCGAAUAAAAACAAGAAAACGAACUAUAAGAUGCUGGAAAAAAAAGACGACCCACGGUAUCCCUCGCCGGCAUUUGAUGCGUCAUUAAUUCUUGGCCGAAAACGCUUGGCGCGGAAAUCAAAACACCGGCAUAGCCCAACCUCGAAAUCAAAAAAACCUUCCCCUGGCGAAGCCCACUGCCCCACACCCACCGUAUCACAAACAGCCCCGGAUAAAAAGACCAACGCGGGCCCCCGGCACAUGCGGGAUUCGCAAAUUCUUUAUGCGCGCCACAACGCCUUCGCGUGGCGAAGGGGGGCCGCGCCACACCACCGAAGCCAAACGCCGGAAAUACCACCAUACCACAAGCGGAAAAACGCGCAGCCCCAACGCUUCGCGACAAAAAAACUGCCCCGAAGAAACCGGAAAUAAUGUUAAAACCAAAGAACAAAUAUCUACGAAGUCGGCACCAUUUCCUGAAUCAGCGGGCUGCCGUAUAAAUUUCCUUGCCAAAACCUUUUGGCCCGCCCGGCCGCCGCGACAAGGAGC
rnacentral:misc_RNA from 1 species